rnacentral:rRNA from 1 species
GCAAGUCGAGGGGUAACAGGGGAGCUUGCUUCCGCUGACGACCGGCGCACGGGUGAGUAACGCGUAUGCAACCUACCUUCAACAGGGGAAUAGCCCAGGGAAACUUGGAUUAAAGCCCCAUAGUUCACAGAAUUCGCAUGUUUUUUGUGAUAAAGUUCCGGCGGUUCAAGAUGGGCAUGCGUGCCAUUAGAUAGUUGGUAAGGUAACGGCUUACCAAGUCUACGAUGGCUACGGGGUCUUAGAGGAUGAUC